AGUGAACGCUGGCGGUGGGCCUAACACAUGCAAGUCGAACGGCAGCACAGUAAGAGCUUGCUCUUACGGGUGGCGAGUGGCGGACGGGUGAGGAAUACAUCGGAAUCUACUUUUUCGUGGGGGAUAACGGAGGGAAACUUACGCUAAUACCGCAUACGACCUACGGGUGAAAGCAGGGGAUCUUCGGACCUUUCGCGAUUGAAUGAGCCGAUGUCGGAUUAGCUAGUUGGCGGGGUAAAGGCCCACCAAGGCGACGAUCCGUAGCUGGUCUGAGAGGAUGAUCAGCCACACUGGAACUGAGACACGGUCCAGACUCCUACGGGAGGCAGCAGUGGGGAAUAUUGGACGAUGGGCGAAAGCCUGAUCCAGCCAUACCGCGUGGGUGAAGAAGGCCUUCGGGUUGUAAAGCCCUUUUGUUGGGAAAGAAAAGCAGCAGGUUAAUCCCCCGCUGUUCUGACGGUACCCAAAGAAUAAGCACCGGCUAACUUCGUG
rnacentral:rRNA from 1 species